rnacentral:rRNA from 1 species
UACGAAGGGGGGCUAGCGUUGCUCGGAAUUACUGGGCGUAAAGCGCACGUAGGCGGAUUGUUAAGUCGGGGGUGAAAUCCUGGAGCUCAACUCCAGAACUGCCUUCGAUACUGGCGAUCUCGAGUUCGGGAGAGGUGAGUGGAACUGCGAGUGUAGAGGUGAAAUUCGUAGAUAUUCGGAGGAACACCAGUGGCGAAGGCGGCUCACUGGCUCGGUACUGACGCUGAGGUGCGAAAGCGUGGGGGAGCAAACAGG